rnacentral:rRNA from 1 species
UACGGAAGGGGCAAGCGUUGUUCGGAAUCAUUGGGCGUAAAGGGCGCGCAGGUGGUUCUGUAUGUCUGCCGUGAAAGCAUACAGCUCAACUGUAUUGUGUCGGUAGAAACUGCAGGACUUGAGGCUGGGAGGGGCUGGUGGAAUUCCCUGUGUAGCGGUGAAAUGCGUAGAGAUGGGGGAGAACACGCGUGGCGAAGGCGGCCAGCUAGACCAGUUCUGACACUGAGGCGCGACAGCGUGGGGAGCAAACAGG